rnacentral:lncRNA from 1 species
GUUCAAAGCCUGAUAGUUCCGUAACAGUGAUUCCGAAUGUAGAAGAUCAGAACAAGCGGCCACAGGCUGGUUUGCGGAAACGUUUGAGAGGUUUCGACGGGCGUGUCUUUUUACCCAUGAUGCUCAUUCGAAAAAAAGGAAAAACUCCACAAUGUACAUAAUAAUUAGUUUUAAUCACAUUACCUGGCUACUUUUUGCACAUCGGCCAACCCGCCAUAUCGUUACAUUUAAUUUUAUCUGGGUGUUUUUACCAAUAAUUACACAGUAAUUCAUCAUUGGGGGAAAAAAGUUGAAUGGAACAACUGACCAAUAGGCCUGUUGAUAACUACACAAUUUUCAUUUAAUUUAUGAAACUUUUAAUAUUACAAUAGUAUAACUUUAUAUAACUGUAUGCAGCAAUACAUAACAUAGGCCAUGUGAUACACACAUAUAAUUAAUUUAUGUUGCACUAUCAUAUUUUUAUACAUAAUCCAUCAUACUUUCUAAACAUGCAAUUAUAAAGAUAAGUAGCUCUUGCAAAUAACCUACAAUUUUUCAUUGCACAGGUAGGCUAAAGUCAGUGUGCGGUGCUCAUACAAAUCAAUCUGAUCUCGCGAGUUUACUUUCGGCUUCGCUAAACGCAACGAGAGCGCAGCGGUCAGGAUGGUCUUGGAUCAGGCUAUCAAACAAUGCCCCCUUCCUUCAAACACAAGAAUAACCUCUCCCCAAUUUUUACCCCCUCGCUUUGGUUCCAUCUGGAACAGAACAUAAUGGCGGUUGAUGGUGGUGGAGGGAGGAGCUGUGGCGUGCAUGAGCUCAUCUGUGCCAGAAGAGGUAAGAUCAGGGGGGCGUCCUGUCUGUCUACAUAUCUGUCUCUUUCUUUCUAUCGCUCUGCCUGUACUCCAUUGUACUCUAUGUAUCUGUGUCUGUCUACUUGACUGUACUUGUAUCCCCCUUAAAAAUAGAGAGAUGGCUCCAUCAAAGCAGUAGCUAUCUAACAUGCUCAUUUGGAUCUUUGGAGUACACAUACAGUGCAUUCAGAAAGUAUUCAGACCCCUUUUACUUUUUCCACAUUUUGUUACGUUACAGCCUUAUUCUAAAAUGUUUUAAAUAGUUUUUUCCCCUCAUCAAUCCACACACAAUACCCCACAAUGUCAAAGUAAAAACAGUUUUUUAUUAACGUUUGCAAAUGUAUAUCCCAUAUACAUAAGUAUUCAGACCAUUUACUCAGUACUUUGUUGAUGCACCUUUGGCAGCGAUUACAGCCUCAAGUCUUCUUGGGUAUGACUCUACAAGCUUGGCACACCUGUAUUUGGGGAGUUUCUGCCAUUCUUCUCUGCAGAUCUUCUCAAGCUCUGUCAGGUUGGAUGGGGAGCGUCGUUGCCCCAUGAUUUUCAGGUCUCUCCAGAGAUGUUCGAUCAGGUUCAAGUCCAGGCUCUGGCUGGGCCACUCAAGGACAGUCAGAGACUUGUCUCAAAGCCACUCCUGCGUUGUCUUGGCUGUGUGCUUAGGGCCGUUGUCCUGUUGGAAGGUGAACCUUCGGACCAGUCUGGAGACCUGAGUGCUCUGGAGCAUGUUUUCAUCAAGGAUCUCUCUGCAUUUUUCUCUGUUCUCUGUUUCCCUAAAUCCUGACUAGUCUCCCAGUCCCUGCCGCUGAAAAACAUCCUACAGGAUGAUGCUGCCACCACCAUGCUUCACCGUAGGAAUGGUGAAGGUUUCCUCCAGAUGUGACACUUGGCAUUCAGGACAAAAAGUUCAAUAUUGGUUUCAUCAGACUAGAGAAUCUUGUUACUCAUGGUGUGAGAGUCCUUAAGGUGCCUUUUGGCAAACUCCAAGGGGGCUGUCAUGUGCCUCUUACUGAGGAGUGGCUUCUGUCUGGCCACUCUACAAUAAAGGCCUGGUUGGUGGAGUGCUGCCGAGGUGGUUGUCCUUCUGGAAGGUUCUCCCAUCUCCACAGAGGAACUCUGGAGCUCUGUCAGAGUGACCAUCGGAAUCUUGGUCACCUCCCUCAGGUUCUUCUCCCCUGAUAGCUCAGUUUGGCUGGGUGGCUAGCUCUAGGAAGAGUCUUAGUUGUUC